UCACUCGUUCUGCAUUUGUUGCAAAAAGACGUAAUUAUGACCAACCAAACUGGUUUGGAGUUGGCUUGGCUUUCACCAGCAGUGCUGCCUUGUGGGCUCUCCUUUUCAAGCAGCAUAACGAAGAUGUAAUGGAAUAUGAAAGAAGAAAACAAGAGAGGCAACGUAAGUGUACAGGAUGUUCAUAGUUGACGGUAUGCUCAGUAAGAAGUAACAUGAUCACCAGUUGUCCUACAAAUAAAUGAGUGCAGCAGAGGUACAAAGUAACUAAAUACUUACAUGUUCAUACAUUUCAUGUGCAGAAUUAUGAAAUAAAUUAUAAAGCCUGGAAGAAGCUUACUAAG